rnacentral:tRNA from 1 species
GCCUCGGUGGUCUAAAGGCUUAGGACGUUCGCCCGGAAAGCAAGAGAUCCAGGUUCGACUUCCGGCCAAGGUA